rnacentral:rRNA from 1 species
AUUGAACGCUGGCGGAAUGCUUUACACAUGCAAGUCGAACGGCAGCACGGACUUCGGUCUGGUGGCGAGUGGCGAACGGGUGAGUAAUGUAUCGGAACGUGCCCAGUCGUGGGGGAUAACGUAGUGAAAAUUACGCUAAUACCGCAUACGAUCUAUGGAUGAAAGCGGGGGAUCGCAAGACCUCGCGCGACUGGAGCGGCCGAUAUCAGAUUAGGUAGUUGGUGGGGUGAAGGCCCACCAAGCCAACGAUCUGUAGCUGGUCUGAGAGGACGACCAGCCACACUGGAACUGAGACACGGUCCAGACUCCUACGGGAGGCAGCAGUGGGGAAUUUUGGACAAUGGGCGAAAGCCUGAUCCAGCCAUUCCGCGUGCAGGAUGAAGGCCCUCGGGUUGUAAACUACUUUUGUACAGAACGAAAAGGUUUCUACUAAUACUAGGAGCUCAUGACGGUACUGUAAGAAUAAGCACCGGCUAACUACGUGCCAGCCGCCGCCGUAA